GUGCACGCAGCAGCCCAGCAGUGUGUUUUGCCUCCACGUGGAGCCAGCAUCUGAUCGGCAUGGGCAUGUUAGUGUACGUGAAAGGUAGAAGAUUGACAGUGCUGAAGACUGAAGUCCUUUGUAUUUUUCAUGGAAUAUGAGCUGCCAUAACUCCCUGUGCUGAAUGAGGUUUUCCCAUAAUACCUCAUUUGUCUCAAAACUGAUUUCUACAGACAAGAUGGUAUUUAUUUCAAACUUCAUGCUUAUUUAAUCCUCCUCUCUGAUGUGUACCUGCUGGGAGUAGCUUAAAUUGUGUUUCUG